ACCACGUUGGGUAUAAGUACACACUACAGCAGAGCUGCACUAGGUGUGUGUGGUGCCGUCAGUGCGGGGUUUGAAGUGUGUUGGGUAGUUUGACAAUUCUGUGAGAUGGCUGACUACUACUUGUGCAGAGUGAGGAUUCAGGAAGUGGAACCAUCGUAAAAUGUGUUAGGAUUACGCCCAGUGAAAUGUUUGACUACAAUGAUGGGACCAUAGACGUUUGUGAGUGAUUAAAAACGAUAAAAAUCACUCUUGGGACAAGUCUCCGAAUCGUAUAUAAAUUUGUGAUGAAUAAAAUGGGGACUUCUUUAAAAGAUGUUUCGAAUCAGUCUCCAUCUCCUACGACCAAUGAUUAUUACAAAGCCAUUACCAAUUACAUUAUCGGACUGAGCGAAGCCACAUAGUGUGUGGUGAAACAUAGUUUUAGAGUAAAUAAUGUGAUAUUAUUCGGUAUAGCAAGUGUGAUAUUUUUAAAAUAAAAUGUAACAAAUCUA